rnacentral:lncRNA from 1 species
CUACAGGAGGACCAGCUACAGCCUUGCUUAAAAUUUGAAGGACACACACCUGUAAUCCCAGCAACCCCAGGAGUCUUGAGGCAAGAAGAUCACAAGUUUGAUGCCAGUCUGAGCAACUCAGGAAGACCCUGUCUCAAAAUAAAAAAUUUUAAAAGGGCCAGGGGUAUAGCAAGUGGUAGAGCACCCCCGGGAUUCAAUCCCAGAACCAGAAAAGGAAGUGUGAGAGAACUUCCCAUGAGCUGGGACAGCAGGAACCUGUGUUUUAGAGGUCUUAAGUCCCUCUCCCGACUCAGCCCUUGAGCACCUACCUAGCAGUUGAGCCCACAACAUUUGCUGGUGUGUGGAGUCUUCAGUAAAUCUUCCCUGAGUCUCCCAAAGGGACUGAUCUGGGCUUCAAAAUCCCAACAUGGCAUCUCUCACCUGUCAACCAGACUCUCUCACAUAGGUCUGCACCUCUGACUACCCAGCCCCAGGCAGCCUUUGAUGUAAAAAGUAUUACUGGAAAAAAGAAGCCCUAUCCAGCCUGGCCUACAACUCUCUACGGUAAUACUAGGCCCAACCAAGCUGAUUAGAUGGCAAAAUUCCAACAGAAGGACAGACACACAGACUCUUUAGUUCUGAGGCUCCAGUGGACAUCUGAAGACACAGAAACUAGCCACUCUGGAGCCUGAGGCAGGAGGACCACAAGUUCAACACCAGCAACUUAGUGAGACCCUGCCUCAAAAAAUAAAAAAGAG